rnacentral:rRNA from 1 species
UCUUGUCCUUCGGGGCAAGGUUAGCGGCGGACGGGUGAGUAACACGUAGGUAACCUGCCCGUAAGACUGGGAUAACAUUCGGAAACGAAUGCUAAUACCGGAUACACAGCUUGGUCGCAUGACCGAGCUGGGAAAGAUGGAGCAAUCUAUCACUUACGGAUGGACCUGCGGCGCAUUAGCUAGUUGGUGAGGUAACGGCUCACCAAGGCGACGAUGCGUAGCCGACCUGAGAGGGUGAUCGGCCACACUGGGACUGAGACACGGCCCAGACUCCUACGGGAGGCAGCAGUAGGGAAUCUUCCGCAAUGGACGAAAGUCUGACGGAGCAACGCCGCGUGAGUGAUGAAGGUUUUCGGAUCGUAAAGCUCUGUUGCCAGGGAAGAACGCUUGGGAGAGUAACUGCUCUCAAGGUGACGGUACCUGAGAAGAAAGCCCCGGCUAACUACGUGCCAGCAGCCGCGGUAAUACGUAGGGGGCAAGCGUUGUCCGGAAUUAUUGGGCGUAAAGCGCGCGCAGGCGGCCUUGUAAGUCUGUUGUUUAAACUCGGGGCUCAACCCCGAGUCGCAAUGGAAACUGCAAAGCUUGAGUGCAGAAGAGGAAAGUGGAAUUCCACGUGUAGCGGUGAAAUGCGUAGAGAUGUGGAGGAACACCAGUGGCGAAGGCGACUUUCUGGGCUGUAACUGACGCUGAGGCGCGA